AUCCCGGCGCUGCCCACCCACCACACCGCUAGCGCCUCUGAACCUCGCCAGGCACGUCCGGUUCUGCGGCCCCCACUCCGCCCCCGCCUGCCGGGAGCCGCGCAGUUACAAAGUGCCGGGAGCCGUGCAGGGCCAGUGAACCCCUCGCUGAGACUCAGUUUGCUGCCAUCACAAGUGCUCUGAGAAUCCUGGAGAGGGAGGAUAUUGGAGACAAACGGGACUGCUGCCCGCCUUUUAGGCGACCGUUGGAGGCUGCUCUGUGCCGGACACAGGCAGGGAAAAUGUCAGCCCCGCGAGGGAAAUGGCAAAGGGAAGAUGACAGCAGACGAGAGAAACAACAGCCCCACCUGACACAGCCAGGACCCUGCGGAGAGGCGGCAGGAGCCCCCACUUCCUCGGGACUCAGCCUCUGCACCCCGGGACUGCCCAUGGCCCCUCUGAGGGCUCUCCUCACUCCUUCCUCCCUCAUUAGGGAAGAGGCCAGUACCCAGCAGCCAUGGCCCAAGCGCAGGUGGUCUGUUCUGUGCACCCAGCAUCCCCCUAGGGUCUAAACCAGCUCCCACAGCUCAGAAGUCAGCGGAGCAGAGUCCCCAGGAAACCAGGGUCAGGGAUGGAGGCUGCUGAGGAGCGGGUCUGGGAGGUGGAGGCCAGAUACAAGAAAACCACAGUACCAGUAAAUGACAAAGGCUGGAUCUUAACCCAAGUCCUCCGACUCUGAAGGCCAUACCCAACAGCUUGACAGCAAAGUGUUUGAAAACGAAGAGCAGGAAUUCCGCGGUUCCUGCCCGGCCUCGC
rnacentral:lncRNA from 1 species